rnacentral:rRNA from 1 species
GAUUUGCGAAGGCAGCUUACCAGCAUGCAACUGACGCUGAGGCACGAAAGCGUGGGUAUCAAACAGGAUUAGAUACCCUGGUAGUCCACGCAGUAAACGAUGAAUACUAGCUGUUGGCGAUAUAAUGUCAGCGGUAAAGCGAAAGUGUUAAGUAUUCCACCUGGGGAGUACGCCGGCAACGGUGAAACUCAAAGGAAUUGACGGGGGCCCGCACAAGCGGAGGAACAUGUGGUUUAAUUCGAUGAUACGCGAGGAACCUUACCCGGGCUUGAAAGUUAGUGACGGACUUGGAAACAGGUCUUUCCUUCGGGACACGAAACUAGGUGCUGCAUGGUUGUCGUCAGCUCGUGCCGUGAGGUGUCGGCUUAAGUGCCUUAACGAGCGCAACCCUUGCUGUUAGUUGCCAUCAGGUAAUGCUGGGAACUCUAACAGGACUGCUACUGUAAGGUAGAGGAAGGUGGGGAUGACGUCAAAUCAGCACGGCCCUUACGUCCGGGGCGACACACGUGUUACAAUGGUGAGUACAGAGGGUUGCUACCUGGCGACAGGAUGCUAAUCUCAUAAAACUCAUCUCAGUUCGGAUCGGAGUCUGCAACUCGACUCCGUGAAGCUGGAUUCGCUAGUAAUCGCGCAUCAGCCAUGGCGCGGGAAUAC